rnacentral:rRNA from 1 species
AGCAGCCGCGGUAAUUCCAGCUCCAAUAGCGUAUAUUAAAGUUGUUGCAGUUAAAGCUCGUAGUUGAAUUUCGGAAUCAAUAUAUCGGUCGUGCCUUGGUACGUACUGGUAUCAUUGGUUUCUCCUUUCUGACGAACCAUGAUGUCAUUAAUUUGGUGUUAUGGGAAGUUAGGACUGUUACUUUGAAAAUUAGAGUGUUUAAAGCAGGCUUUAGCUUGAAUACAUUAGCAUGGAAUAAUGAAAUAGGACGUUCGAACCUAUUUUGUUGGUUUCUAGGAUCAACGUAAUGAUUAAUAGGGAUAGUUGGGGGCAUUAGUAUUCAAUUGUCAGAGGUGAAAUUCUUGGAUUUAUUGAAGACUAACUACUGCGAAAGCAUUUGCCAAGGAUGUUUUCAUUAAUCAAGAACGAAAGUUAGGGGAUCGAAGACGAUCAGAUACCGUCGUAGUCUUAACCAUAAACUAUGCCGACUAGGGAUCGGAUGAUGUUAAUUUUUUAAUGACUCA